rnacentral:ncRNA from 1 species
GCCGCGAGGCGGAAUCUGAAGGAAGCUGGAGGCAAAUGCACGAGCCAAGGUACACGAACUCAAUUUGAGGCAGGGUUAGUCGGAUGAGUCACCUACACAUGACGAAAUCCAAAGUCGCCAAGGGCUUUCCCUGUAAACUUGGGUGGUUGCGGGCAGAAAGAUGA